GGCAUGCUCAGGGCGAGUUUGCUGGAGGGGCCAACUACCGGUGCCGACCCGUGGCGAAAGAGCGUUUGAGAGCAGAGUUAGACUACGAACUGGCCAGGUGUUGAUGGCGAGCUAGAGCCUGGAACCGAAACAUGACUUUGGAUGUCAUGGAAAAUUCCUACUCCACUAAAUACUUUCUCCUGCUCUGGUCGGGCUGGUAGGAGGCUUUUUCACAGCCGCCCUUUCUUCUUUUUUCUGUUUUUUUUCCCUUUGACCGACCAAUCUACAUACGUAGUUGGAGCAUGUUCUUUCUGUUGGACAUUUGGUCGUUUUUGAAUUUUCUUUGGACUCGAGAACAACUGGGUGCAUGGACAGGUCACCCAGUCUGUUGGACUUUAACCAGAACCUGAUCCAUAACACAAACUUUUCUUUUUUUUUUCUGGGAUCUUUUCUUCCCUUUGAAUGGCCAUUCAUGUAAUUCAUGUACAUCAUGUAUAUUUGUCUUUUUUUUGUAUGUUUUUGUUAUUCUAAAAAAAUAUAUGGUACCAGCAAAACACAAAAAACCUUGUCUCAGUCUCUCCCUCUACUCCUAGAGUCAGAUUUGGUCUUCUGAUCUAGCCUACAGAAGCAUUGUGCUUAAGCUAAGCUAUUGGGACACAUUGGUUACAUCUGAUUCUGCAAACAUGUGUCUCUGAGCUCCUUAUCUUACUCAUGAAACUCUGCAUUACGACACAGAACCCUGGAAAUACUCUCUGAUAUUUGUGUGAUUGUGAGACGCCAAAAGGUUCAAAUUGUCUUUGUUUUUGACACUAAUAUGGAAAUUAAGCUUCAUAAAUGCUCCGUCUUCAUCUUCCAGCACGGCUCAGAUGAACAACCAACUUUGGUUCUUUUCUAGUUAUUUUUUUUUACUUUUUUCUUCUUCUCGUAAAUUAACGUAUUUCAAGUCCACAUUUACGUGAUUUAAAGAGAUAAUUGCACAACUUUAAAACUCUUACAUUUACAGAAAAAAGUAAUACACUCAGCCAAUGACUUUUUAAUUAAUAAAUAUAUGAAUUUACUAUCGUUAUCUACUAGUUAUGACUUUUUUCUCGUACAUUUAGGAGAAUUUCUGUUGUAAUUUUUGUUAUUAUUUUGUGUAAAAUGGCCCUAAUACACUGUCAUACAGAUGUUUUCUAAAUACCAAUGACAAAAAAAUGUUUCACUGUUUUAGUUAUCAGCUUUAAAGCUGAAAUAAUGUUAUUUCAUUCAGCCUGUAUUUGUCACUCAUCUGCCGUUCAUGACAUGGUUAAGAGAAAACGAGGGGCCAGAAAUACAUCAUACUAGUUAAAAUACGAAUGACAUUAAACAUAUUAGCUGAUCACAAAGUGAUCUCUAAAUUAUUAUCUACAAUCAAACUCACAAAAGUGUCAAAGAGGAGGAUCAGUGUACCUGUCCAGCUCACCCCCACCCUCCUGAACUAGUCCGUUCACAGAGCAAAGCCUUUGAAGACGACUUUGUUUUGAUGAAUGAGCCAAUGGGGAUUCAGUUGAAAGUAAACACACUCAGAUCAAACUUCCCGAUCGUGUUCU